rnacentral:snoRNA from 1 species
GAUGGAGGAGGAAGCAAUGUGAUCUUCUGCGUGAAUCAGUAGAAGAUUCAUAUCCAGCUCACCUUCCUGAUUAGCC